UACAGAGGGGGCAAGCGUUGUUCGGAAUUACUGGGCGUAAAGGGCGCGUAGGCGGCCCGUUAAGUCGAACGUGAAAUCCCCAGGCUCAACCUGGGAACUGCGUCCGAUACUGGCGGGCUUGAAUCCGGGAGAGGGAUGCGGAAUUCCCGGUGUAGUGGUGAAAUGCGUAGAUAUCGGGAGGAACACCAGUGGCGAAAGGCGGCUACCUGGCCCAUUCUUGACGCUGAGGCGCGAAAGCGUGGGGAGCGAACCGG
rnacentral:rRNA from 1 species